AUUGAACGCUGGCGGCAGGCCUAACACAUGCAAGUCGAGCGAUCGGCGGACGGGUGAGUAAUGUCUGGGAAACUGCCUGAUGGAGGGGGAUAACUACUGGAAACGGAAGCUAAUACCGCAUACCAUCAGAUGUGCCCAGAUGGGAUUAGCUAGUAGUUGGGGUAACGGCUCACCUAGGCGACGAUCCCUAGCUGGUCUGAGAGGAUGACCAGCCACACUGGAACUGAGACACGGUCCAGACUCCUACGGGAGGCAGCAGUGGGGAAUAUUGCACAAUGGGCGCAAGCCUGAUGCAGCCAGGCCGCGUGUGUGAAGAAGGCCUUCGGGUUGUAAAGCACUUUCAGCGGGGAGGCGUUACCCGCAGAAGAAGCACCGGCUAACUCCGUGCCAGCAGCCGCGGUAAUUC
rnacentral:rRNA from 1 species